rnacentral:sRNA from 1 species
AAGUGCUACAGCGAUGCAGCCGCCAAGAAGCAGGCCCGCAGCCUUCAGGCCGUGCCUAGGCUGGUGAAGCUCUUCAACCACGCCAACCAGGAAGUGCAGCGCCAUGCCACAGGUGCCAUGCGCAACCUCAUCUACGACAACGCUGACAACAAGCUGGCCCUGGUGGAGGAGAACGGGAUCUUCGAGCUGCUGCGGACACUGCGGGAGCAGGAUGAUGAGCUUCGCAAAAAUGUCACAGGGAUCCUGUGGAACCUUUCAUCCAGCGACCACCUGAAGGACCGCCUGGCCAGAGACACGCUGGAGCAGCUCACAGACCUGGUGUUGAGCCCCCUGUCGGGGGCUGGGGGUCCCCCCCUCAUCCAGCAGAACGCCUCGGAGGCGGAGAUCUUCUACAAUGCCACCGGCUUCCUCAGGUGCGCCAGCCUCGGGCAGUGGGGUGGGGAUUGCAGGCGCGGGUCACUGUAGGGACUCCGCCUGGCCUGGCGUUCACAGCCCCACACACCGCACGCCUCGCGCUGGGGAUGGGCGUGCGA